UUAGUUUCUACUUAUUUCACAUUAGUUACUUUUUAAGUAUUCUGCUGAAAAAAUUUUUACAAUACAAAAAAAGUUGAGUUUCAGCCAACACUAUUAUAGGAGUUACGUACCUAGUUUGUAUGAAAUUUGCCCAAAGUUUUGUGAGUCUUUCCACCAUCAAAAUCUCUGGGUCAUUUUCCUUUAAAAGGGGAAAAAGCAAAGAAAUGUGGAAAAGGUAGAUAAGGUCAUCAUGAUGCACAAUUCCUGAAAAAGAAAACAAAAACCAUCAGUGUUACUAUUAUUUUUUAAAAAAAUUUUAAAUAUUGCAUUUGGAAAAUUAAAUUUAAUAACAUGAAUUGUAUUUUGGAUGUUGAAAUCAGAUUGAUGGACAUAAUUAUAGGUUUUCCUGUAUUACCUAGCUGUAUUGGUGUGUGCUAAAACUUCUGUAUAAAAUAUAUAGGUAUGCAGUGCAAUAUGGGGCUUCUAACGGUGUACGUGAAGCAGUAACUUCCUGUAUGUAAGAGCGCUAGUGCACGUGAACACCCAAGUAUUGAAAAGAGUAGGUAGUUGAUAAGCUGUGUUAAUAUAUCUGCAAUGUGCAAGGCUUUUUUUUAAUUGCAAUUUCAUUCCUUUUUAUAAUGUAUGUCUGCAAUGUUGCAACAAUGAAAUGUGCUCAACAGUGGUGUGCACAUUUUCAGGGCUGUCAGGGCAUGCGCACAACAGAGUGACGUCAUCUAUGAAACAUUGAGUUGGAGCAUAGUUAUAAAAAUGCUCCAGCUCGUCACCUGCCUCUUGCAGGAAGGGCAUUCCUCUUGGUAUUAGUGCAACCUUAGAUAGGGGCAAGAUUAUAUGGUGAUUGUAUUUUUUACCCCAAUUUUUGGCAUGUCAAGGCAUGAAUCAUAUCUCCCAGAUCUUCUAUAUUUUGCUGUGACCACUUAUUUACUAACAGGUUCUAGUCAGUAAGCGCUGCAAGUAAAAUCAUUUUAUUUUGACGUGGGUGACUAUAACUGUAAUGAUAAUAACACUAGAUCACAAGUGUUGACUUCAACAAGUAGUCAAAGCUAAGUCAUAUGCCUUGUCAAGCCAAAAACAUUAAAUAGGAAUAUUUAUUGCAAGCAGUAUCAAAAUAUAUUGCAAAGUGGCAAGGCCUAAUCUCCCCAAGAGGCCAGCUUAGCGAGAGGUAUAUUUGUAUUAGUGUGGAGGGAAAUGAUAAGUGUGACACUCGCGGGUGCUUCUAGCAUGGUAUCACCUUAAAGCAUAAGGCUGUGGAUUGGCGUGCAGUCUUCUUGUCAUGCAUAGGGCAACUGUGAGAUUUUAUCAGAAACUAUAUUUUGACAUGGUGGGAAAAUGGUGAUGAAGGUGAAAUAAAACUAUUUUAAGAACAAAAUACAAAAAUAGAACCACUCAUCUGCCUUCAGCACAUGCUUAAAUGCUUUUUUUUAAACAUAUUCCACUCGUACAGUAAGUCCUCUAUUUCCGUCAUACCGCUUUACGUCGUUUCGGAUUAACGUCGCUAAUGUUUGAGUACUCAUGUUUCAAUUUAAGUUGUCGCCGAUUCACAAUAACGUUGUUUACAAUGACCGUAAAUCUUUAUUUUAACCAAAACACCGUAUAUAAUUUGUUUAUAAUUCUUUGUUUCCUUCGGUAGUUAAUUUAUGCUAUGUAGCGUAAGCUACACGUUCACCGCCUUAUCUUAUCAUACAUCAUGAGGGACGCUUCUUGCUCUCCGCUGCUCUCCGCGCGGUGAUGCAAUACUACCAGCCCGCCCGCUCGGCCACCCACGUAUCUCGCUCGUAGAAGUGUUAUCUACUUCCCGCAACGACACAGCAUUUUCUCCUAUCCCUUUUCGUCCAACUCCUUGGCACUUCAGUCGCUAUGAUAUCAUUGAGUUGGCCGGAGUUUUAAACGUGCUGUUGUUAACUUUAUCGUGAUUAAAUGCAUUUGUAGUAGGCCUACAGUAUCAGCUCACUGCAAUUUAUGAUUUUUUCUUCAUAAGAUGUCUUCCAAACGACUAUAUAUCUGUUUUUAUAUUUCAAUCAAUAAAGGUAAUAAAGCAGCUGGUUAAAUAACCAUUCUAUAAAGCUGAGAAAUACUAGUUGGACUUGUUUCCCACGCUGUCGGUUGUAAUUUGCUGAUAAAAUUGCCCGUUGUCACGUCUGUAUGCCAGCGCUUCCGGCCGACCUUGGGCCGUGGUCGGCCGGUGGCAUGAAACAUGGCUCAUUUUGCGUCGUUUCUAUUUACGUCGCGGUUUUCAGGAACGUAACCCCGACGUAAACCGAGGACUUACUGUAUAUCUUAAAGUUUUCAAAUUGCAUGGUUUUCGGGAGCUCUGCUCACUGAAUGUGUGGUGUAGGUGGGUCUGGGUAAGAUCAAGUAAUUUUUGUUCGUUGUGGUUAAUAAUAUUAGAUGUUUUGUAGGUACUGAAAUUCUGUAGCUUUUGCCAAAUUGUUUUUCAUACAGUUAAAUCUUUGUUACUCUUAUUGUCUUAUAGUACAAAAGGUAAAAUCCUAUGUUUUGAAUUCCGUAGCCAUUUCUGAUGAGAAGUACAUUUAAAUGAUUAUAUAAAUCAGGGUGUCUACAAGUCACGAAAGUCCCGAAAGUAACGAAAAAGUAACGAAUUUUGAUGCGAGGUCACGAAGUCACUAAAAAGUCACGGAAUUCAAUACAAGCUCACGAAAAAAUUUUCUAUUGACGUAUUUUCACGUGUAUUUAUUGGACACUAAGUGACUGUGUAAUUGGCACAGCCGUAUUUUUCUUUCUUUAGUAUGUUUGGCCUGCUAUAGAAGAACAAAGUGCUGAAAUAAGAUACCAUGAAACGCAGUGGUGAAAUUCAAUUCUAUGUCAAGCUGAUUGUUGUGCUAUGUUCGUUUUAAUGUUUCGUUUUUUAGGACACAGGCCGUACGAGUCUAGCAUUGCCUGACGUAUGAAAAGUCUCGUAUUUGUACGAGGAUUCAGAGGUUUUCAAACCAUAGAUGUUACAGUAUACUAGUACGUACAACUUGUUACGAUAACGAUGCUUUCCGCCUCCACAUCCAUAUAAUUAUAGUAAAUACACAAUCUCUCAUUAGCAGAGUUGCCAACCAUUACGGAUUUUCCGUAAUUAUUACGGAUUUAACACCGAAUUACGGAACAUCGCUAGUUUAUUACGGAAACGAGGCUUUGUGCUGCUGGGUAACGGAGAAAAUUCCGUUUCUGCUGUGCGUGUUUCGUGAACGCAGUUUGAAUACAUCGCUUGGUUGCGCAAAUAACGGAACUAGUAAGUGUGCGCAUGUACUGUCGAAAUAAGUGGAUUAAUUCUCGUGUUUUGAAAUAAUAAUGGGAUGGUAUUACGUCCGUUGUACGAUACAACUAGUACAUAUUCUCAGACUUUUCGUUUGAAGGCUACUUACAUCACGAUAAUAUUUUUUGGUACUUUGGCUAACCUGUGUUAGUUUUAAUUUAUUGCUUGAAAGCCAUUUUUUUCAUCAUAGUGUUUUUGUCGUGUAUACAGACGAUGUUAAGCCUAAUGUGUAUAUUUUUUUUUGUAAAAGUGUCAAUUAGUUUAGUCAAUAGUACAAAGUAAAAAAAAUCCAAAAAAAAAAUGUUGCCAUUUAGGUAGGUACUGUGCCCGGCAGUUAUCUUGGCGUGUCUCAGCGCGGGGGUGCGGGGACAGCGGGACCGGAGAAAGAAGAGGGGGUAAGCAGGCGACACGUAGCCGAGAGCCGUGUAGUGGCUGUUUGGAAAAUAUUGCCCUUCAGUGUAUACCCGAAAAUGGAAGGCGAAGGUGGCAGCUCGCAGAGGCACGGUAAAGUGAUACAUAGUGGAGAGCGGGAAAUAAUAAAAACGGUUUAUUCUAUGGUAUAAGUUGAUAUUACUCCAAAAAAGUGCAAAAGUGGCUUAAAUGGAAAGUUUAACAUUGUAAGUUAUAUGUUCUGCAUUGUUUGUACACUAUGAAUGCUGACAAUCGAAUAGUAAUAAUAGUAAUUAAUUUUAACUUAAUUUUGUUUUUCGUCACCUAAUACAAUCAAUUAUCAUGAAAAGAGAACUUCACACUUACAUUAAACAAAUCAUAUAAUAUAUAUGCAUUCUAAAGUGGAAGUACAAUGCAAAUUGUAUUUACAUUUAUAAUAACUAAUCGAUUAAAGGUGCAUUAAAAUAUAAAGCCACACAUACACAAGCAUUUUUUAAAUGCCAUUAACGUUGGUAGUCAGGUGUUUCCUAAACGACUGACAUGAAGUUAAAGCAGCAAAUAUAACAUAACAAGCUCCAUGUUUAGUUAAAUGUAAAUCCAGCGCUAAAUGGCACGUUUUAGGUACGGAAACCAAAGAACGAUAAGGGCUAGACUGGCUCUUGCGUCAUCAACUGUGAGAUAGCUUUCGCAUGGAGAGCUACAAUUGCGUAAUGUUUUGGUCGUUUGCUUUUUCUCGUAAGACUUUUCUUAAAAAUAACUUUGAGAACACAAUGAAUUGAGAAGCAUAGUUUAAAUUUAUUUUACAUACUAAGUGACAUAGUUUUCCAAAAUAAAUUGUGUCUGGUUUUCGCUAGUUACUGAGUUAACAAAAUUUCAAUUAAUUUUGGUUAGCAUAAUAAUUAGUAGAUACCGUAAGUAUAUUUGAUGGGACAAAGUAAAACGUUGCAGAUUUAGAUAAUAGUUUGUUACUUUUCCUGAUAGAUGAGUACAAAUAUUCGAGCAUAACCACUGCAAUUUACACAAUGUUACACUUAUGUAGUACAAGUACAAUGCAUAGGAUUUAUGAUUUUUAUUUUUACGUAGCCUUUUUUCAUUGUGUCAAUUUUUGUUUCGUGCUGUGCGUGCGACGUAAAAAUUCAUUCUUAUCAUUUUAUCAUAACACGCCUAAAGAAGUAUAAUCUAACCUCACUUAGGUAUAUAAAUACACUUGAAAAAGUUUAUAAACUCAAUUUCUAUCUCUAAUAUUCCAAAAAAAAAAAAAAAAUUUUAAUGAUCUGGACCAGUAUUCCAUAUCAAUCACUAAAGUAUAUGAUUUAAAAGCACAUAUGAUUUUUAUUUGUGUGUAGCCAUUUUUUCAUGAUGUUUCUAAAGAAGUAGAACAUGCAUAUGGAAUACACAUAUGCACUCACGCAACGACUUCCAGGCCAAUUCGUCCUCGGUCAUGCCGGUGAUGAACGGCACUUGCGAGAAGUUCCCGGCAAGGAACAACUCCAGGGCAUUCGCGGUGAGGAACUGCUCUUCUGCGGGGUUCGCCAUCUCCACGACGGGGAGGAACACGACGAUGGGGUCCCAGGCAAACUCCUGUCAUCAAGACAAGCUCACUCAGCAUACCUGAUGCUUCCCAAUACAUGGGGGGGCGGCUCCAGUCGGGAGAAGAUAUCUUUCAAAGAUAGAAAGCCGUUGUAAAACAUGAAAUUAAAUAUGUCAUAGAUACAUGUGGAAUAUUUACAAAUUAAUGGUCUCAAAUACCCAACUCCAAUAGUUUCAUACAACUUUUGAGUAUUUAAGAAUUUGAGUUAACAUAAAUAUACCCUUGGUUUCAGGAAAUCUAGGUAAGCUUGUUGCAAAAUGCAGGAAGUUGUGAAUAGAAAUGUAUCCUGUGUUAGCAUAGUGUGUGCUUUAAGAAGCCAACUGCUACCUUCCAAACUUGUCCAGAGCCAUCACAAUUCAGCUUAUUAGGUGCUGGGCAUUGGGCAGGAAAUAUGUACUUCAUUGUAAUUAAAUGUACAUACCUAAUAGAAAAGUUUUAAUGUGAUAUGCAUUAAAAUGCCAGACACAGAAGAUAUUGCGUUUGUAAAACUGCUCUGUCAAAUAUACCUGAUGAUUAGGGACAAGAUUAUAUUGUUAAUUGCGAUAAAACCUAAAUAACACCGAACAGCUUGUCAAAACACCGCAUAACACCAAAAUGCAAGUUAAUACGAUAUAUACACCGAAAUGCAAGUUAUAUCACGGAAUUAAGUAGCAUUAAACCAAAACAUAAUUUGAUAAUUAAAAAAGUAAUCUUAUGUUUGAAAUUCAAAGAAUAUCAUUUCUGUACAUAUGAUAAAUAAGAAAACCUUUUACCAUUUAAUCCUACCAGCUUAAAACUGAUAUUAAUAAUCAAAUUUUUUUUUGUGUGUAUAAUACUUUGUGAAAUGUUAUUUAUCCAUUUUUAAACUGCCUUUCAUGUAAAGCUUAAAAAAAAAAAAAGUAAAAAUUAUAUAAUUUGCAUAAUAUUUAAUCUGAUGUUAAAAAAACUUUUAAAAAAUUUUGUACAUGAUGCCCGGAAUAGCUUAAGGGUAAUGAUUUUUUUCUGUCUUCUAUUCGUGCUGAGCCGCAGACCACAAACUUGCUGUGCGUUGUCAUUGUGAGGGAGUGCGCGUACCCGGUAGAUGUUCAGAGCAGAGGCCAGGUCCUGGGCGUCCUGCCGCCCGAGGCAGCGCCGGAUGCUCUCCGACGUCUCGGCCGAGCAGUUGAAGUAGCGCGCCAGCUUGCGGGCGGUUGGCGCCGGGUCCACGUUCUGGGAGUAGGUCAGUGCCGAGCCGCUCAUCGCGAUGGCGCAGUGGAACAAGCCUGGGAGGUGCACGGGUGCAUCCGUUAGCACGUUCAUUCUAACUUUCUGGUACACUCGUAAACCUGAAGGGACGUUAACUGUGCCACUUUGCAAUAACAAGGUUUGUAUUAACCGUAGUAUUACUAAAUUUAGUCACAAUUUUUUAUAUAAUUUCUAAAUCAAAUUCAAAUAAAGUUUAAAAAAAUUUUCUAAUUUAGUAUAUGCAUAAUACAGCUAAAAAAUAUAAUUUUCUCCUUGGAAACUUGCACACAAUUUGAUACAACACUAACUGUAGGUAAUUUUUUUUAGGGGACUAUAAACUAUAACAUUAGGAUGGUUACACAAGUGGCUACAAAAAAUAUUUUGUACUGUACUAUAUUUUUUAAAAGAAUUUAAGAAAGAAUAAUAAAUAAAAUGUUUAGAAAAUACCUAUGAAAAGACAUACAGUACCAUCAUUGUGGAAGAAUAUAUAUUUUAAUGCUUUUUUUCCCCCCCAGCCUACCCUGAACCAAAGCAAUGCAGCAGUAUUAUUUUAGUUGAUACUUCACAUUGUUUCUUUACAUUAUUCUGGGGUUUUUAUACUAACCACCCUGUACGUCAUUUAAUAUUGUAUUGUUGGAAGAAAAAAACUUUUUUAUGGAAUAACCACACUUUUGUAUUAUACAAAUUAGAACUAUAACUUAGGUAAUUUCUAGGGACUGUGAAAACACUUGUAUUAACAGGAUUUUUAUUAAUGAAGUUUCACUGUACAUGACAGCAUCAAGCGCUGCUCCAAUUGAGGGGCGGUGGGGGCAAUAACCCCUCUCAAGUCCGAUUUUUAUUUUGGAGGUUAUAUUUAUGUACACUUAAAUUCAUAUUUAUUUUUAUUUUAUCAAAAGAGAAUGAAACUAUGUUCAGGUUGUGAGGCCAUGAAUUUGAAAAUAUUCCAAGGCCAAUCUCUGACAUUUAGAGUCAUGUUUUGCAACUUCAUCAUUUCUUUGUAUGCUAGCCUCAACUGAUAUAUCUCCCUGCAGCCACACUUGGACAGCAUUUUCCAUUGUAAAUUGGCCUGUUCGUGCAGGUACAAUUGAUGUACUAUCCUUAGCCUGCCGCUGCUGAAGGUAAACCCGUUUCAUUGGUUAAUUCACUACAGCAUCAAUAAUUGUUAGCAGGGGCGAAUUUUUGGGUGAGAGAGAGUGGAUAUUUUUUUUGAACUUCAUUUUUUGAGGCAUAGUAUUUAAAUUUUGACUCCAAAUAUCCUGUAGUACCCAUGGACUUAGAUUCAGAGGAGGAGAUUAACUAUUGACUACAGCUUCUAAUUAUUUUGUCUCAUCUUUGCUAUCAUUGUCUGUAGGUAGUACUUAUUUACCAGGACUGUAGAUACUGUCAUGUCACAAGCACUAGCUUUGCAUACGGGUCAAUGUUUUUUGCAAUCAUGGGAUCAAAACAUAUUUCCAGAUGAAAGCAGUACAUACUUGCAUCAAAAUAUUUACUCCAAAAGGUAAACAUUGUGUUUAUCUCUGUGAGCAGAUAUGUGAUAUGUCUUGUUAAUUUAUUUGCUUUCCCAAGAAUUCAUCUUGGUACCAAACCUUUCCUGCUUGCUAUUAUAAAUAUGAAUAGUGUAUAAAUAGUGAAUUUAAGAGCUCAAACUGAGAAUCAAGUUAGUGUGCUAAAUUUUUAGCCAGUUUUUUUUUUUAUAUAUAAAUUAAAUUCAGGCCUAUACAGGUGUAUUUUAUUUGCAUAUUUUUAACAUCAAGCUAAAUCUUAUACUGUAUUUUGAUUAAUGUUGCUACAUUUCACUUGAUAUUGAAAUUACUGACUUGAGCCACCAAAGUCAUUAAUAAAUUAUUCGCCAUAUUAUCAUCAAGAACCUUUCAAAAUAUCAGAUGCUACUGCAUAGUUUAAUUUGUGUAUGUACCGUACUAUGUUUACAUCAUUCUUAUUGAAAUUGCUCUGCACUAAUGUGAAAACCCACUUGAUGCUAACAUCGAAUAUUUUAAAAAUAGCUUCUACAGUUAUUAUUUUUCCCUGUUAGGUAUUGGAAGUUUAACAUAUCUGUACUUUACACACAAACUUAGUCUGUCAACUGAAUAUCACCAACUCUUUUGACAUCUGUUGUGAUAACUCUCAUUGUGUUCAUCUGGCUUGGUUGCUUCCAUCCUAUAGUCUAAACAUAGGAUGAUUAAAAUAGCAUUUUGGCUGACCCACAUAGCAUGUAAACUUCCAGCAAGCUUGUUACAGAUUUGAGAGGUGUAAUUAAAACAUAUAUUUAACCAUUAAGGCUGAGAUUUGCUUUCUGCAAGCUUGCCAAAGGCUUGAAUUUAGCUUGCUCUCUGCACCUAGCUGCUUUGGCAAGUUUGCAGUGCGCUUGCCAUGUGGAGACUAGUUAGCUUGAAACAACUUGCUGCUAGCUAACAUACCUUCUGCUGCAAGCUUGAUGGUUUGUUAUGGCAAACUUGAUCCAAGUUUGAAUCAUGUCUUUUUUUUUACUAUAUCUGGGACAUAACCGAAAGGAACUACCUUGCGACAUGGGUGAGACCAUGUGAAGCAUGACACUGCGGGCGCCCGCGCUGUAGCCCGCUAUGGUGACGGAGUCCGGGUCGCCGCCAAAGGCGCCUAUGUUCUGGCGCACCCAUCGCAGCACCGCCACCUGGUCCUUCAUGGCGUAGUUGCCCGGCAGCACGCUGUCGCCCAUUGACAGGAAGCCUGCAGUUCAGUGCGACAUCGCAUCCACUUUAACAACACACUUGGGAAUGUAUUCAUAGCAGAUAUGCUGCAACAGCCAGGAAGGUGUAUGUUGUUUCCAUGCUACUGCAUGGCGCCACCGGUGCGUAGAGCCUGAACUGUUGCGGCGCUUGCCGUGCGCCGGAUUUCGACGCGAGACCUAGGGCUGCGAACGUCUACUACUGGGCCAAGCUGUUAACAUCAUGAGCGGACGUCACGCUCACAACUUAGAGGACUGCAGAGUCACUGCACAGCAGAGACUCGCUCGACUCACCCAGCGACCUCCAGGCGAACUCGUCCUGCGUCAUGCCGGUGAUGAGCGGCACGUGCACGAAGUCCCCGGACAGCAGCGACUGCUGCGGCUCCACCGUCAGGAACUGCUCCUCGCUGUCGCCGGCCCGCUCCAGCGUCGGCAUGAACGACACUAUGGGGUCCCAGGCGAACUCCUGCGCCAUCGUCACCGCGGCGUCAACACGCUUCUCCGUUCUCCGAACACCUCCCUCCUCGUUCCCCGCACAGGAGUCAGGCAUUAGCCGUCAGAGAUGGCAGCACAUCGCACGCGGUUACCCGGUAUAUGUCGAUGGCGCGGCCCAUCUCCAAGGCGUCCACUCGCAGCAGACAGCUCCUGAUGGCCUCCGACGAGUCGACCGGACAGCGGAAGUGGCGCGCCAGCUUCCUGGCCACGGGCAGCGGGUCGCGGUCCACGGACCACUUGAAGAAGGGCGAGCCGCUCAUGGCGAUGGCCCGGUGGAACAGACCUUGCACAGAAAAUAAAUAUAUCUCUUCACUUUCACGAAACAUUCCUCUGGGAACCAUUUGCCAAGAAAAGGUUUGUAAUACUAUACUUAACAAAAAUAUUGUUUAUUUGUACAACACAUUGUUACGGUUAUUUUUGUUUAUCUGAAAUAUAUUUUUGUAGUGAAACUUCUUUGCUGAUGGGGCUACAACUUAAGGCGUUUCGAAAAUUCGGAUCGCAUGAGGGGAAUAGUUAGGUACCCGGUGGGGGAACCGGUAGAGGAGGGGAGUGCGUCAGCGGCAACGUCACUCCAACGCAUGCGCUAGCGGCCGAAUGGGAUUACGGCAAGGGGUUGGGGGGGGGGGAAUUUGUACGCAGCGUAGCAUGCUAUUAUGCUAAUUGUAAUGGCUGGAAGGGAAGACGGCAGGGGAGAGGUAGAACUGACGCAGCAAAGAUGCUACGUAAUUCUCGUAACGCUGAUUGUGUUUGUCUAUUCCUCAGUUUUCGUAACGGCUAACGAUUGACGCUACCGUAGUUCUAUUAUUUUAUUUAAAGUAUCUUUAAUUUAUUUAUUCUUUUGUAAAAGAGUUAUUAAUUUGUGCAAUAGUGUGAUUGAAAAAAUAAAAAAUACGUAUAG